CGGAAUUACUGGGCGUAAAGGGCGCGUAGGCGGCCUGGUAAGUCGGACGGGAAAUCCCCGGGCUCAACCCGGGAACUGCGUCCGAUACUGGCAGGCUUGAAUCCGGGAGAGGGAUGUGGAAUUCCAGGUGUAGCGGUGAAAUGCGUAGAUAUCUGGAGGAACACCGGUGGCGAAGGCGGCAUCCUGGACCGGUAUUGACGCUGAUGCGCGAAAGCCAGGGGAGCAAACGGG
rnacentral:rRNA from 1 species